rnacentral:lncRNA from 1 species
GGCUACUGUUUUGCUGUUAGGACCAGGUACAUGACAAGUUCCCUGGUUCCCAUCUAGAUCUACGUAGCUCUUGCAUGAUUUGAACUUCUUGUACGGGCUCUCUUUCUUGCGUAGAUCCUGUAGGCAUCUCACCUCGGACAUACAAUCAAAGGACUGAGACUUCCCGUCGUAGUAUUUGGAUAACCCUUUCCUGCAAAGAACAGCACGGUACUUGCAAGGUGAGAAUUUUGUUCCUUUUGAUGUACAUAAAUUGACUGAUAUAUGAAAGUAUUUUUCCAAGGAACUUACUUGAUAGGGAGUUCUGCCUUCAUAGCUGACAGAUCGCAGAUGCUAUCUGAAUUCAGUCUUCGCACUGGCUGCGGCGUUUGGGAAGCCGCCUGCAGCGCAAACUUGUCUUGUUGAGCUUCAAACUCCUCGCCGUCUGAGAACUGGGCCUCAUCAUCCGAGUCGCUGGAGAUGGAAGAUGAG